rnacentral:tRNA from 1 species
GGCCUCGUGGCUCAGCCGAUAGAGCGUGCGCUGUACAGAAGCGUCGGCGGCGCCCAUGCGUGGGUUCGAAUCCCAUCGAGGCUA